rnacentral:tRNA from 1 species
AUUCAGAUAGCUUAUUUUAAAGUGUAACAUUGAAGCUGUUAUGAAGGUCAAAAGACCUCUGAAUA